rnacentral:rRNA from 1 species
GUAGGUGUUGAUUACGGCGAGGGUCCACCUGUUCCCAUUUCGAACACAGUAGUUAAGCUCGCAGGUGCCGAAGAUACUUGUCUGGCGACGGACCGGGAAAAUAGGUUGACGCCUACA